rnacentral:misc_RNA from 1 species
CGCCGAAGGUGGGGCUGAUGACUGGGGUGAAGUCGUAACAAGGUAGCCGUACCGGAAGGUGCGGCUGGAUCACCUCCUAACAGGGAGACAAAAAAUAGAUUGUGAUGUCUAAGUCAUUUAUUCUUAGGCCGCAAUCCUGUCACCUUAAGGUCGAUCGGUACCUCAGAUUUUGAGUUAGUUUAUAAUUAAUUCUUUGAUUUCAGUUCCUAAACUUGUCUAGGUCACACCCAACAAAGGUUUCUCCUGGGCCAUUAGCUCAGGUGGUUAGAGCGCACCCCUGAUAAGGGUGAGGUCCCUGGUUCAAGUCCAGGAUGGCCCAUUCGUUGUUGGGGGUAUAGCUCAGUUGGUAGAGCGCCUGCUUUGCAAGCAGGAUGUCAGCGGUUCGAGUCCGCUUACCUCCACUGAAAACUAUCCUGAUAACUAAAUUCCGGAGAAAAUUUGUAAACUUGACUUAGAUUUGUCUAUUUGAAGAACCUAGCUUCUUAUCAUCUUUUUAUAGUUGAUAACAUGCUGGGCUCACAUGGUUUAUUCCAUGAGAAUUCAGUAGAACCUUGAAAACUGCAUAGAUUAGAAAGAAUAAAGCAUCUCAUGGAUGCAUAAUUCAUGUGUAUGUAAUUUAGUUUUCAAACUAAAUUACAUAACGUGAGUUCAUGUUUAAUUCUUGAGUAAUAGCCGAGCACAAUUGAUUUUGUGAUUGUAUUUAAGGUCAAGCUACAAAGGGCUCAUGG